rnacentral:lncRNA from 1 species
CCUUGGUUAUAUCUCUAACAAUACAAGAACCUGUUUCAUCUUGAGUUGAUUCACACGGAGCCACUGGACUUUGAGAAGUAACAUGUUCAAGAAUAUCCUGAUCAUUUUCUGGAGCACUACCACAGUUCUCCACAGAUGCUAUUUGGUCAGUUGAGGCGCCAUUGUUGUGAGUGUUACGAGGAGGAGGGAGUCGUGAUUUCUCUGGUUGAGCCUUCCCAGCAUCAAGUUCUAAAUUUUUAGAUCCACACAGAGCCGCUGGAUUCUCAGAAGUAACAUGUUCAAGAAUAUUCGGAUCAGUUUCUGGAGCACUACCACAGUUCUCCACAGAUGCUAUUUGACCAGUUGAGGCGCUGCUGGUGUGACCAUUACAAAGAGGAGAUAUAUGUGACUUCUCCAGC